UUGGGCUCUGUGUGGGACAGAGGGAGAAAUCUGCUGAAACAGGUAACCACAGCCAGCAUGGGGUUGUCGUGGCACAGACAGCAUACUCGGAUUUCCUAAAGAUACAUCAUUUGUCCUUGUCAUUGCUAGUCCAUCAGGCCAGCUUGCAGACUGUUGUGUUUUUAAACCACUGGAAAAAAAGUGAGACGUUCUGAAAUCCGGGGCAUUUUGUAAGAUCUCUAAUGGCAAACACAGGCUCCCUUAAGACUUUUAGGAAAGCACCUAAGCUAACAGUGAGUUGUUAAACCAGUAUUACACAGAACUACUGCCAAUAUUUCAUUGAAUUAAUUUACUAUUAGUUGAGUUAAUUAGAGACCAAAUAGUUUCAAGCAAUUUCCAACAUAAAAAAGUUUGACCAGCUGCAGGAAAACUGCACAGGGAAGGGGCAGGAACAGCAUCCCCGGAGUGCUUUAGCAGACCUGCUCUGAAACAGCCAGCAGCCAAAAAAAUUAAACAAAAAUCACUUGUUGAAAGAAACUUGUAUUUUGGCUGUGCAGGGAAGAACAGCGAGUACACUCACACAGGGCAGAUUCAGUCUUCUCAGCCCUGCCCUUCAGUCUUCCACAAAAAGCAUGUUGCAAAAUCUAUUCCUCAAAUUAUUCCAGUUCUGCUGGCUUUAAGAUGUAUGAAUUUAAUAGCUUAACAAAGGAUCAUGGGAACAGAUAAGUGCUCCAGCACGUCCACUAUUGUGUUUUGUGUUUUCGACACUCACUGUUGCCAAAUGACCACUGAACAAAACAGAGACUCUGACAACAAUGCUUAUGCCACAGCAUUACUGAGUAGAGAAAAACACAUCAAUUUAGGAGUUUGCAUUUUGGUCGUUUUUACCACAAAGACAAUGCCUGUGUAUUAUCCCCUAAAACUUAGCUAGCAGAACGCAGAAAGGAACUGUAAGGGUAGGUCUUUUAAUUUAAAUUCAACACAUUCACCACAGUGUUGUGAGUUUUAACCUUCUAAGGCAAGCAGAUAAAAGUCAGGAGGCCGAAAGGACCCACAUCCUCAGCUGGCCACAGACUUCUUACCAUGUUUUCAGUGACAAAGGCUGACUCAGGUGAAGACGAUCCUGAACACCCACAAGUUAGCGCAAGGCAUGUAGAAAUGAUCUGUCCUUUCACCUGAAGCUCUGACACUACUGCCUGGUGUGGAGCCUCCAGAGGAGACUGGGCAGAAGCCAGCACACAGAGCUGUUUCUGCUACUCAGACUUCAUACGCUUGUUUUCCUGCGACCAGAAGAGCUUCUGUGGAGGUGAUGCAGAGUACUGGGCAGAUGUUGAUUCAAAGGCAGUAGACCUUCACCCUGUUCUCUCUUCUGCCACUGAACUGUAUGUAACCCUACCAUUAAGCAAGAACAAAAUAGGUAUUCAAAUAUUUCCUGCUGGCCAGGGGCUUUACAGGAAAAGCAGAGCAAUAAAGGCUGAAGAACUUU